rnacentral:rRNA from 1 species
UACAGAGGGUGCAAGCGUUACUCGGAAUUACUGGGCGUAAAGCGUGCGUAGGCGGUUACAUAAGUCGGGUGUGAAAGCCCCGGGCUCAACCUGGGAAUUGCAUUCGAGACUGCGUAGCUAGGGUGCGGAAGAGGGAAGCGGAAUUUCCGGUGUAGCGGUGAAAUGCGUAGAGAUCGGGAGGAACACCAGUGGCGAAGGCGGCCAUCUGGAUCAACACUGACGCUGAGGCACGAAAGCGUGGGGAGCAAACAGG